rnacentral:lncRNA from 1 species
GUUAGUUUGCUGCUCUAGGAUGCAGCAUUGAGUUAAUAUCCUUAAUUAAUAGAUUUAAUUAGAAGCUUUAAUAUUCUAAGAUAACCAGCUACAUCUCCAUGUAAAUGAGUGUCACACCACCUAAAUUGUAGAACACACUGAUUUGAGAACGAUUCUGGCUUUGUCAAAGGAUUUGAUUUCCUUAAUGGUGAUGACCCGUGAAGUGGCUGUGUGGGGGCUGUGUUUGCAGAGCUGCCCAGUGUGGGCUUCCAUUGCUGUUCUGCACUCUUUGUAGGAAGCACUGCUCCCAGAAGUCAGCUGUGUGCGUGCCUUAGGAGCGCACCGAGCUCCUCUGGGGCACCUGGGAUGUCUGUGGUUGGAUGAGAUGUUCGAAUUUUGUGGGGGAAAGAAAACUUUCGCAGUUGCUCUCACCUGUUUUUCCAGAACCUUGAGAGCAGUGCAUCUCUCUGAGGAAGAGCCCUGGCUCAAUACCUGCGUUAAGGGGUAGCAGCACAUCGAUGGAACAGAGCUCUGCAGUCUAACACAGGAGCGGUGCGGUGGGAGCUGCCCUGAGCUGAAGCUGGGCCUCGUGCUUCUAUCAUCGACUGCAGGCAAGUGAGCAGGCGCGUUGCCGUGCUCUGGGUUCCAUCACACUGUGAGGUGAAGCAGCUUUGUGCAGCCCUGGUGCAGCAGCCCUGCAUCACCUCCUGGUAACCAAAGCCCCUGCCUGGCAGAGUGUGUGGAAAGCGUCAGGCCAGGCAAAAACAAUGGAUACGGAAUGAAAGUCAGCUCUUGCUGUUACCCAAAGCUAAUAAUCCUGGGCAACCUGAGUGCUCAGUGUGUGUUGGUCUGUUACUGGAUCCAGCUGGAUGUCACUCUGGAAGGGUGACCUGCACUCCGAGGAGCUCCGCUCAGCCGCUGGACACCACGUGCUCUCAGCAUCACACAGCGGGCCCAGGAUUUAGGCAGCUGUUGUACAUCACUGCCUGAAAUACAGGAAAACAACUGGAAAUAAAACGUUUGAGAAUGUGUUCA